GAUGAACGCUGGCGGCGUGCCUAAUACAUGCAAGUCGAGCGAACGGACGAGAAGCUUGCUUCUCUGAUGUUAGCGGCGGACGGGUGAGUAACACGUGGAUAACCUACCUAUAAGACUGGGAUAACUUCGGGAAACCGGAGCUAAUACCGGAUAAUAUUUUGAACCGCAUGGUUCAAAAGUGAAAGACGGUCUUGCUGUCACUUAUAGAUGGAUCCUCGCUGCAUUAGCUAGUUGGUAAGGUAACGGCUUACCAAGGCAACGAUGCAUAGCCGACCUGAGAGGGUGAUCGGCCACACUGGAACUGAGACACGGUCCAGACUCCUACGGGAGGCAGCAGUAGGGAAUCUUCCGCAAUGGGCGAAAGCCUGACGGAGAAACGCCGCGUGAGUGAUGAAGGUCUUCGGAUCGUAAAACUCUGUUAUUAGGGAAGAACAGAUGCGUAAGUAACUGUGCACAUCUUGACGGUACCUAAUCAGAAAGCCACGGCUAACUACGUG
rnacentral:rRNA from 1 species